rnacentral:rRNA from 1 species
ACUGGGCGUAAGCGCACGCAGGCGGUCUGUCAAGUCGGAUGUGAAAUCCCCGGGCUCAACCUGGGAACUGCAUUCGAAACUGGCAGGCUAGAGUCUUGUAGAGGGGGGUAGAAUUCCAGGUGUAGCGGUGAAAUGCGUAGAGAUCUGGAGGAAUACCGGUGGCGAAGGCGGCCCCCUGGACAAAGACUGACGCUCAGGUGCGAAAGCGUGGGGAGCAAACAGGAUUAGAUACCCUGGUAGUCCACGCCGUAAACGAUGUCGACUUGGAGGUUGUGCCCUUGAGGCGUGGCUUCCGGAGCUAACGCGUUAAGUCGACCGCCUGGGGAGUACGGCCGCAAGGUUAAAACUCAAAUGAAUUGACGGGGGCCCGCACAAGCGGUGGAGCAUGUGGUUUAAUUCGAUGCAACGCGAAGAACCUUACCUACUCUUGACAUCCAGAGAACUUUGCAGAGAUGGAUUGGUGCCUUCGGGAACUCUGAGACAGGUGCUGCAUGGCUGUCGUCAGCUCGUGUUGUGAAAUGUUGGGUUAAGUCACGCAACGAGCGCAACCCUUAUCCUUUGUUGCCAGCGGUUAGGCUGGGAACUCAAAGGAGACUGCCAGUGAUAAACUGGAGGA